rnacentral:lncRNA from 1 species
AAACUUGUAGCUCCAAAGAACUACUUAACAAAGCUCCUGGACAUAUCAUACCAGGGUUGACAGGGCAAAAACCAUUUAGCAUAGCACAAUCUUCAGAAAUUUCGUUAUCAUGCUUUGAAUUUUCAUGCCCUAAUGUGUUGAGGCCUGACUGUGAAUUGCCAACAGAACCACAUAUUGAUUUAAUGAAUGCAAUAUCAGUAGUAAUUGAAUCAAGGAUUUUCUUAGAUACAUCUUUAGCG